GAACCCUCAGGGGUCCAUAAAUCAAAACGCGCUAUGCGCGUUUACAAUAUUACCGUUGCAAUAACCAAAAAGACCGAAAUACCUAGCUAUUUCUCUCACGCCCCUCAUCUCUCAUCUUUGCUCUCCCUUCGCAUUUGACGCCUCCAUCUCUUCUCUCUGCUUGCUCUGCCCUCUCCGUACCAAAAACACUGAUCUGCUACCAAAAACCAGAUGGGUAAAAACACAACUUCCAACCCCGAGGCAAAAAAGGCUAGAGCAUUAUGGGAUGUCUACAAAAUCUUCCAACCUCACUGGUUUUGAUCUUUUUUUUUUUUUUU